rnacentral:rRNA from 1 species
UACGGAGGAUCCAAGCGUUAUCCGGAUUUAUUGGGUUUAAAGGGUGCGUGGAGUGGCUUAUUAAGUCAGGGGUGAAAGACGGUAGCUUAACUAUCGCAGUGCCUUUGAUACUGAUGAGCUUGAAUGAACUAGAGGUAGGCGGAAUGUGACAAGUAGCGGUGAAAUGCAUAGAUAUGUCACAGAACACCAAUUGCGAAGGCAGCUUACUAUGGUUUUAUUGACACUGAGGCACGAAAGCGUGGGGAUCAAACAGG